UGCCUCAAACAGACAAACAAACAAACAGAA
rnacentral:piRNA from 1 species